rnacentral:tRNA from 1 species
GGUGCGUUGGAUGAGUGGCUUAGUCUACGGUCUGCAAAACCGUCCACGGCGGUUCGAAUCCGCCACGCACCUCGA